AACAGUAGUCCGCACAUUGGUUA
rnacentral:miRNA from 1 species